GGGUCGUUAGCUCAGUCGGUAGAGCAGCGGACUUUUAAUCCGUUGGUCGCAGGUUCGAUUCCUGCACGGCCUACCA
rnacentral:tRNA from 1 species